rnacentral:lncRNA from 1 species
GGCCUUUCUAGGAGCCAGCUUGCUUUCAUCUUACUGUUUUGAUUGUGCCUCACAAGGGACAACACUCCGAUUGUCUAGGAGGAGGAAGGUCAGGGACAGAAAAGUAAAAGCCAGGAGCAGCCUGUCCUGUCUGCCUGGGCUGCUGGGGAAUGAUUGUCAGUGAAUCGAGUUGUCUGUGGAGCCCCUGAGCAAAUUCUCCCAGUGGCAGAUCUCGCAAAAGGGGAGGAAGGCCUUCACCGCUGAACCCGAGCUUUGCCAUUUCGAAGUGCUGAGUCACCUCGUCCUCUCAGGGUCAGACACUUUCACGCAGGAAACGUCCUGCAGAGCACCGCAGCGGGAGCACCGAGCUGGUGUAUAGGUGUGAACCAAGUGCACGUCUAGUUCCCUUGGAGGCCAGAAAGAAGGCGGUGUCAGAUCCCCAGGAACCAUAGUUACAGAUGGUUGAUGUGGAAACUCAGAGAGGAUGCCACUGUUUUGAACUAUUUUGAAGGCACAGCCACCAGAGCUUUAGGGACAGGGUAUUUUAUCACAGCAACAGAAAUGAAACCAAAACAACUCCACAAUAAAAUUCUUGAGUUUCUUGGGGCCAAGAAGAUGACACGAUAAGAUAAAGACACUGGCCAAGCAUGACCUCCAGAGUUUGGCCCUUGCAUAAAGGAGAAAAUUAAUUCCUUCAGUUGUUCUCUGACCUCCACAUGCGUCCUGUAACAUGGGUGUAUGCAUACACAUAAACACACAUCCACACGUUGUUAAAUAAAUAAAAAAAAUAUGUUAACA